AGAAUCUUCUAGGCCAUGCUCAUUUGUGCCUCUGUGGACAGCCUCUGUCUGCAGAUCAGAGCACCAUUGCCAGUUGCCAAGAGGAACUUUCUCUGAGGCUUCUGGAAGAGGAAUCCAUGCUGCUGUGGCUUUUGCUGCUGGUUCUAGGUCUCCCGGGGCCCAGGCUGCCAUGGGGGAAGUGGUGGAGCUUCACUGUGAGGCCCAGAGGGGCUCUCCCCCAAGCCUGUACCAGUUCUAUCAUGAGGAUGUCACCCUGCGGAGCAGCUCAGCAUCCUCUGGAGAAGGAACAUCCCACAACCUCUCUGCAGAACAUUCUGGAAAAUCCUGUGUCAGGCCAACAAUAGCCUAGGAGCCCAGCCCAGUGAGGCAGUGUUUUUCAAUGUCAUUCAGCUUGAGCCUUGGCUAUGGGCUCUCUUUCAAAAGAUAAACUCCAAGCAUGCCAGUGUAUGAGGAAGAGUAUUUCGUGAAGACUGGAUUUCCUCAGUGACUUACAGUGGAAACAGAGACAGGAGGUCAUGAAAAUUAGUUGCUAGCCUCCCACUAGCCUGAGAGGAGUGGGCUAUACUCCAGGGCAUUGGACAAAUAACUGAACAUCACUUAACCAUUUCAAACUAAGGCAAAAUGCACUGGAACGCCUGCCCGAUUCCGCACUUCACACCCCUUCCUCUGGAGUAUCUUCAGGAUUCCAGCCUGAGUCCCUGACCUCUGAGCCUCACCCACAGAACACUCUCCUCAGAGGUCCCCUAGGACAAAGGCCAUGCCACCUUCCGGUUGCGGUGACUGGGGGACGCUGCUUGGUUUCCUGGCAACUACUGCUCUGUUUUUUACCUGUGGCUCCAGAGGAAGUCAGGAUUCCUCUGCUGUCUAUUUAGAGGUGAAGAAAGAACAGCCCACAGCAGCCUCAGCUGAGCAGCAGUAAAAGGAACCUGUAGUUGGAGCUCUUCUUAAGAAGUCUGAAAAUCAGGAGUUCCCAUCGUGGCACGCGGAAACAAAUCCGACUAGGAACCAUGAGGUUGAGGGUUCAAUCCCUGGCCUUGCUCAGGGGGUUGGGGAUCCGGCGUUGCUGUGAGCUGUGGUGUAGGUCACAGACAUGGCUUGGAUCUGGCAUUGCUGUGGCUGUGGGGUAGGCUGACAGUUGUAGCUCCGAUUAGACCUCUAGCCUGGGACCCUGCAUAUGCUGCAGGUGCGGCCCUAAAAAGACAAAAAAAAAAAAAGUCUGAAAAUCAGAUAAUAACAGAUCUUCAGACUUGGUAAUGGUAUUUAUUCUGGAGCUGAAUCUCAGCUUCUGCUUUCAAAUGGUGCAUGUGCUCCCCAAUUAACCACAGUAUCUGCCGCUUGGUAUUGUUUCCUUGAAUCUGAGCCAAGUGACAGCUGCCAUUUAGUCCCUCAAACAUCCAAUUAUUUACUCACAAUAGACUUAAGAAAAGAGUGCCUCUUUUACCCAUGUCUCUGGCAAAAGUAGGAAAA
rnacentral:lncRNA from 1 species